GUCCACUUGACAUUUGUUUUGAGCGCGUAUUACGUAACAUACAGAUUCUGACAGCUCUGAUCCCUCGUGAGUCAUUGGCUGUUUUUUUUUCGCCCAUUCAGCGCUGACAACAAGGCCGAAACAACCAGAAAGAGCUCGCGAUAUCACACAUGAAUUGCCGAACUGUAGUUAUUGCAAUAUUACUUCUUAGGGACCGGUAAUAAAGCAAUAAAAAACGUUUUUAUUGUGACAUCCGUUUUGAAUUUUUAAUAUAAAGUGUGG